rnacentral:rRNA from 1 species
GAUGAACGCUAGCGGCAGGCUUAACACAUGCAAGUCGAGGGGUAUAGGUUUUCGGACCUAGAGACCGGCGCACGGGUGCGUAACGCGUAUGCAAUCUACCUUUCACAGAGGGAUAGCCCAGAGAAAUUUGGAUUAAUACCUCAUAGUAUAGCAGUUUCGCAUGAAACCACUAUUAAAGUAUCAACGGUGAAAGAUGAGCAUGCGUCCCAUUAGCUAGAUGGUAAGGUAACGGCUUACCAUAGCUACGAUGGGUAGGGGUCCUGAGAGGGAGAGCCCCCACACUGGUACUGAGACACGGACCAGACUCCUACGGAAGGCAGCAGUGAGGAAUAUUGGUCAAUGGACGCAAGUCUGAACCAGCCAUGCCGCGUGCAGGAUGACGGUCCUAUGGAUUGUAAACUGCUUUUGUACGAGAAGAAACAACAUUACGUGUAAUGUCUUGACGGUAUCGUAAGAAUAAGGAUCGGCUAACUCCGUGCCAGCAGCCGCCGUAAUAC